rnacentral:rRNA from 1 species
ACGAACGCUGGCGGCAGGCCUAACACAUGCAAGUCGAGCGCCCAGCAAUGGGAGCGGCAGACGGGUGAGUAACACGUGGGAACCUUCCCUAUAGUACGGAAUAGCCCAGGGAAACUUGGAGUAAUACCGUAUACGCCCGAGAGGGGAAAGAUUUAUCGCUAUAGGAUGGGCCCGCGUAGGAUUAGCUAGUUGGUGAGGUAAUGGCUCACCAAGGCGACGAUCCUUAGCUGGUUUGAGAGAACGACCAGCCACACUGGGACUGAGACACGGCCCAGACUCCUACGGGAGGCAGCAGUGGGGAAUAUUGGACAAUGGGCGCAAGCCUGAUCCAGCCAUGCCGCGUGAGUGAUGAAGGCCUUAGGGUUGUAAAGCUCUUUUGCCGGGGACGAUAAUGACGGUACCCGGAGAAUAAGUCCCGGCUAACUUCGU